AUUGAACGCUGGCGGCAGGCCUAACACAUGCAAGUCGAGCGGAGGAAGGGAGCUUGCUCUGGGAUCCGGCGGGGGAGGGGGGGGAAAGGCCUAGAAACCUCCCGGGCAUGGGGGGAAAAGGUCCGGAAAGGGGGCCAAAUACGCCAAACGCCCGGAGGGGGAAAGGGGGGGAGCUUGGGACCUACCGCAAUCGGAGGGCCCUAGGCGGGUUUGGCUAGUUGGUGGGGUAAGGGCCAACAAAGGCGACGAUCCGUAACUGGUCUGAGAGGAUGAUCAGUCACACUGGAACUGAGACACGGUCCAGACUCCUACGGGAGGCAGCAGUGGGGAAUAUUGGACAAUGGGCGAAAGCCUGAUCCAGCCAUGCCGCGUGUGUGAAGAAGGUCUUCGGAUUGUAAAGCACUUUAAGUUGGGAGGAAGGGCAGUAAGUUAAUACCUUGCUGUUUUGACGUUACCAACAGAAUAAGCACCGGCUAACUUCGUG
rnacentral:rRNA from 1 species